ACCAAAUAAAUUUUGGAACUCAAAAAUGCAAUGAAUAAAUUGAAAAAAAAAAUUUGGAGGGGCCAGGGAUUUAGCUCAGUGGUUCCACCGCCUGCCUCGCAAGAGCAAGGACCUGAGUUCGAUCCCCAGUAACAAAAAAAGAAAAAAAUUUGGAGGGAUUUGAGAAGAAGAAUCAGCUUGAAGGUGAGACUUUCAAAAUUACUGAGGCAGAGGAACAUAAAGAAAAAUGAAUUAGGGAAAACAGAGAGAAACCUGAUGGACUUUAGGGAGAACAUCAAACAGAGAAACAUGAAAAUUAUGGGAAUCUCAGAAGGAGAAAAACGCAAAGAGCAGAGAAACUUUCUGAAUAAAUACUGGUUGAAGAGUUUCCACAUCUAAGGAAAUAAAUGGAUUCAAGAAUCUCAGAGAACUCCAACUAGUAGAAAGUCUAGAGACUGAUACUAAAACACAUCAUAAUUAACUGUCAAAAGUGACAGAUUAAGAUUCUUGAAAAGAGCAAGAAAAGCAUCUCACCACAUACAAGAGAGCUCCUACUACAUUAUGAGCUGACUUAGCAAGAAACCUUGCAGGUUAUAAGGCUGUGGUGUUAUAUAUUUAAAGUAAUGAAAGGGGGACAGUGAUACCAAUCAAAAACACUAUUUGGCAAAAUUAUCUGUCAAAAAAGAAAAAAAACUGGCUUCCCCAGAUAAAUAACAGCUAAAGGAAUUUAUCACCAUCAAUCCUGCGCUACAAGAAAGGCCGAAAGAAGUCUUACAAGUUGAAAUGAAAAGAUGACAAACAGGAGGACAAAACCACAUGACAAAAUGAUGUCCUUGAUAAUGGUAAAUAUAAAGACAAAUACAGAAUCCAUACCGUUGUGAUGUAGGUGAGUAAACCACAUAUAAAUCUGGUAUAAAAAUAUUUAAAAGGCUGAAAAAUAAUGAAUUUAUGGCAAUGGAUACAAUGUAAAAUGAGGUAAUUUGCAAUUUGCAUCAUCAAUAACAUAAAAUGAGAGGCAGACAGUAAUAUAGUUGAGUUUUUGUGAAUCAAGUUACUUUAUCAAUUUAACAUAGUUUUGUUAGAGCUUUAACAUGUUUUAUGUAAUGUUUUAUGAGGGUAACAGCAAGGAAGUAUACAUGAAAGGAAAUGAGAAGUGAAUCAACACAUAUCACUACAAAAAAUAACCAACAGGGCCGGGGAUUUAGCUCAGUGGUUCCGCUGCCUGCCCCGCAAGUGCAAGGUCGUGAGUUCGAUCCCUGGUACCAAAAAAACCCCAAACAAACAAAAAACAAAAACAAAAUAAAUAUGAAAAAAUAACUAAUAAAUUCCAAAUACAUCAAGAAGAAAAUAGAGAAAAAUUACAGAUGGAAAAAAUUUAACAGAACAGCAAGCCCUUCCCUAUCAGUAAUAAUUUUAAAGGUAAAUGUAUUAAAUACAGUAACUAAAAGACAAACUGGUUGAAGAGACUAAAGUACAACACCCAAUAUAUAGUACCUACAAGAAAUGCUUUAUAUUUAAGAACACAUAUAAUCUAAAAGUGCAAGGGUCAAAAAGGACAUUCUAUGCAAAUGGAAAACAAAGGGCAGGGCACGUGGCUAUUACUAGUCAGAUAAAAUAGACUUGAAGGCAAAAACUGUAUGAUGGACAAAGAAGGAUAUUACAUAAUGAUAAAAUGAACGAUUCACCAGGAAAAUAUAACAGUGAUAAAUAUAUACACACCUAACCUCAGAACACCCAAAUAUAUGAAGCAAACACUGAAAGAACUGAAGGUAGAAAUAGGAAGCAACAUAUUUAUAAUGGAUGACUUUAACACCUCACUUUCAAGAAUUGAAUAGACAUGAAGGUGCAUGUCUGUAAUCCCAGCACUCUUGAAGGGUGAGGGAGGAUCACAAGUCCAAACCCAGCCUGGGCAACUUAGCAACUUUAGAGAAAUCCUGUCUCAAAAAGCAAAACGGGCCUUGAAAGCACAAGGUCCCGAGUUCAAUCCCCAGAACAAAAAAAACACCAAAAACAAACAAACAAAAAGCGGUGGGUAGAGAUGUAACUCACUGCAAAGGCCCAGGAGUGAUCCUCAAUACCAAAAGGGGAAAAAAUACAAUAGAACCACCACACAAAACAUUUCACCCAAUUACAACAAAAUAAGUAUUUUUCUCAAGUGUAUAUGAAAUAUUCUCUGAGACUGACCGUAUGUUAGGUCAUGAAAUACUCCUAACAAAUUUAAGAAGACUGAAAUCAUACAAGUAUGUUCUCCAACCACAGUGAAAUGAACCUAUAAAUCAAAGACAGAAGGAAACCAAGAAAAUCCAUUAACAUCUAAAUAACACAGACUAAAACAAACAAUGGCUCAAAGAAAUCAGAAGGGAAUUUAGAAAAUAUCUGUAGAGAUAAACAUACCAAAACUUAUGAGAUGCAGUGAAAGCAAUACUAACAGCAAAAUAAACAAUAACAUUAAAAAAUGAUAUUAAGAAACAAAGGUAGAUGGCAGAUAACUCUGCAAGCACAAGUUAAGCCCAGAACAGGCCAGCAGACCCAGUGAUGAAGAGCAGACCAGCAGCCCCAGACAUAGGAGAAACCCAUGGAUAUUGCAAGCUGUAAAUCCAGUGUGAGGAUUUGAUCUAAAAGUGACCCCUCCUGUAUGGUAGGUGUAUUGCUUAGUUUUCUUGGUGGACAAAAUAUCUGAAACCUGCAACUUAAGGAGGAAAGGUUUAAUUUGGUUCAGAGUUUCAGAGAUUUAACCCAUGAUCAGCUGGCAACAAAGCAGAAACAUCAUGGUGGAAGGGCGUGAUCAGGGAAAUCGUCUCUCUUCCUGGUGGCCAGGAACCAGCACAAGGGGAAAGCGCAAGAGAGGAAGGGACUAGAGAACAGAUAUAGUCCUCAAGGUCACAUCUCCCCCAUAGACAUACCAAGUUCACUUUACUAAUCUGAUAAGCAUCUUAAUCCAGUCAAAUUACAAUCAUGAUUAAUAGUCACAGCAUACUAACUUUGGAGAAGAAAGCCACAGCAGUUCUUACAGUAUCACUGAGGGAUGUAACCAGGAGCCAUCUUCAGAGGUGGCUUAUUGUUUGAGGCAGAGUUACUCUAGGGAUCAAAACCACCACACUUCAAGGUUCCUGGUGAAACUCUGCCACAGUGAUUGGAUUAGAGACAGCCACAAGAGAGGGGUAUAGAGAGGGAGAGGGUCAGUUUCAGACUUGAAAAGUUAUAGUAGGGAAGAGCUCAAGCUGUGGAGGGCAUCAGGAUUGGCAACAACUCUGUGGUGAGGAAAAAGGCAUGUCACAUGUGAUUUUUCUAAGGGGACUGAGUCUGAAAGUACCAAGAUUAAGCACAGUAAACUGUUGAUUUUCGCUAUUGCUCCCUCCAACAUGGAACCUAGUGAUAUGUUUGCUUUCUGCCCUUAAGAUAUUUGGGAAUAUGUUACUGCUUGAACAUUUGCCAAUCCCCCAAGUGUAAGAAGAGGGGCCUUAACCAGCCCAUGUGGCCCAAAGGUAGUUGGGGACAACAGUGGCUCCCAGUGAACAGUUGGAAACAUAAUAAAAAGCCUGUGGAAUGAAUGAAGCCCGGAGGCAGACAAGAUAUUGGCCAAGCCUGGUGGGAAAGGCACAGACAGAACUCUGCAUUCAUAUAGCACAGCCAAAAAAACAAGACCCAUUGUGGCCCAUUACCCCUCCCCUAUACCUGGUGGAUUCCAAUGUUAUGGAUCCUAGAAAGAAACGUUACCACUCUAAACGUGUUGGUGUAGAAUUUUUUGGACUUACUUUUCUUUUACUUUUUUUCUUUUUCUCUCUUUUACUUGUUAUUUUUUCUUUUAUCUAACUUUAUUUAGGAUUUUUGUUCUUUAAUUGGAUGGUUAGGUAUCUUUUCUCCUUUUUCUCAUUUUAUUUUUGUUUUCUUAUUUUAAAUUUUGCCUUUUCACUCAUUUUCCCUAUCCCUGUCCCUUCCAUGUAUUAUUACUGCAUUACUUUUAAACUUUAUCAAUACUUAGCCUUUUACUUAACUUUAUUAUUAUUGCUCCUUUCUUUUCUAUUGUUAACAGUGAUAUAGUUGUUGCUUUCAGUUUUUACUAUAUUUUAACACCUAGUUUGUCUUUGUGUUAACAUUACUCCACUUGUUUUCUUUGAGUAGAACUAGGGAUCAAGCCCUCAAAAGAAGGCUGGACACUAAGAAGACCCUCAUGUAAGAGUGUAAGAGAUUCUAUUCCACCUGAUGCACAAAUCUCAACAUUAAAAAAACCACAAGAAGUAAUGAAAAAUCAAGACAACAUGACUCCUUCAAGGAUUUAUAACUCAUCACUAACUGAAUGCAAAGAUACAAAAUGGAUAAAUUCGCAAAGAAUUCAAAAGACUGAUUUUUUAACAAUGAUUAAUGAUUUCAAAGAGCAUACAAAUAAACAACUAAAUAAAUUAAGGAAGACAAUGCAAGGUAUAAAGGAGUUAUUCAAGAGAAAGAGAUUCUGAAAAAGGACUGAACAGAAAUCUUGGAAAUCUUCCCCAAUAGAAUGACAAGGCUGAUGAAAUUAUCACACUCCCAUAGUAAGAAAUUUUUAAAAAUUUCUUUUUAUUAAUAUAUGUUUGCAAUACAUAAUGAUUACAUUCAUCAUAAUGGAUUUAAACCCUACAGGCAUAACAUUAGGUUACAAUAAUGCAUUCCAUACUUUUCUACUGUAAAUUUGUACUUUACCAUAAUAGUGGCUAUGUGUCUGAGUAGCUCCACCUGGGGGAUACAGGAAGCAAUCUUUGUGUUUAUCUACUUGGUACAACCAUUGGGAAGGUGUAUGCACAUGUGCAAAAGGGUCAAACUGGCUGAGGAUUUAGCUCAGUGGUUCCACCACCUUCCUGGCAAGCGCAAGGUUCCGAGCAUCAAAAAAAAAAAAAAGGGUCCAACUGGGAUUUUUACCCAUAUAGUGCUGCAUCUAACAGGUUUUGUGUAUGUUUACCUGAGCAUUACAGUGGGUAAAAUACACCCAUUCAUUCUUCUGUUAUGAAAGCAUGUAUUUAUCAUAAUAGAAUGUGGGUGUGACUCACAGUAGCUGUCCCUGGGGAAAGCAAAAACCCAUCUGUGCAUUCACCCACUUGGCAGAUGAAGAGCAAGGUAUAUACAGGAGCUCCAAAGCAACAACAGAAGUAGCCCAAUUCAGUGAAAUGGGGACAAUGUCACAUGUAAAACCAGGUUUGCAAGUUUUGGAGGAGAUCAAAAAAGUGAAUUAUCAGGUUAUUCAUGCAUGGGUGGUGAAGGUGAUAAUGACUUUGAUGUUGGCUGUGUAAGCCAAAGUUCCUGUGACAGUGAAAUGGAGCAAGAACCAACUGAUACAGACACAAGGAACGCAGACCUCCUAGAUUCAGAUAACAAAGAAAACAGUAAUUGCACACUGGAUAAUAUAGUAGAAAGCUCCUGACAAAACAGGAAGACAAGAAAGGUGACAAGAACAGCCUGCCACACAGGAAAGGAAAGUGAGCACAUCUACUGUCAGUCAAAGACUCUUCAGCUUCAAGCACUGACCCUUCAGCCUUCCAUCCCAGACCCCAUGGGCCUCCUGAUCCAGAUUAACAUGAGACACUGCAGUGAAUUCCAGACCUCUGACUGUAUCCUUCGGUCUCCGGCUCUCUACUGCUUCCCUGAAAUAAACUACAGGAAUAUGUACAUUGUGAAGGUGGGAAGGAAUGCCUUAUUCCAUUUGUUACUAACCAUUCAUUAGUAAUUGUAACGUUAUUAUUACAAAAAUUGAUGGAAAUCUAUAAAAUAAAAACUGCGCUAUCAAAAUAAGUAAACUGUGCUGCAUGGUCAAAUUUUACAUGGUAUUAAAUUUUAUUUUCAUAAUCUCUAUAAUCUAAGGGAGAAUCUGUAAAAUGUUCAGUAAUAUGACUGAUCUAUUAAGCCUACUGUUCUACAAGACUAGUAAGAUAUCAGCAACCCUAUUAUAUCCGCUGGUGGUGAUUUUUUUAACAUAGUAAAGCCAGGUAUUUCAUAAUACAAAGAUUCAAGGUAAAAUAAUAAUUUUGAGGGUAAAGCAAAAUAGAAUCAUAUGACUCCUCCCAUCAUAGAGGUGCUUACAAUCCCACAGUACUUAAGAAACACAAAAGUAAAUUAUUUCUAUUCCCAACUGUUUUUUGGGCGGCGGCGGCGGCGGGGGCGGGGGCUACCGGAGAUUGAACUCGGGAUCUUGCACGAUUGCGAGGCAGGUGGUGGCACUACUGUGCUAUAUCCCUGGCCCUUCCCAAGCUGUUUUUAAAUGUUCAUGCUAUUAUUUGUUAAUCUUAAUCCAAGGAGCUCUAUUAAUCUUCAUCAAAAGUACCCGGGCUGGGGAUUUAGCUCAGCUGUGUCGUUGCCUGCCUUGCAAGCAUAAGGUCCCAAGCUCAAUCCCUGGUACCAAAAAAACCCCCAAAAAACCGCAAGAUAAUACCAGCAACUUCUCUCCAGUAAUUUAAAUAUUUUCCCCAAACUGACAGGACUGCUUGAAUAUAAAUGAUCCUUUUACAUCAGUGGCUUUCUAGCAGAAUGAUAGAUAAUAAAGGAUUUCACAAGCAGUUUUUACAGUUUUGUUUAAAAUACUAAAGUGACUGAUACAUCAUCAAUGUACAAAAGGUAAAGUAGCAGCGGGCCUGGGCUUAUCUAUUUGAUACUGUCUCAUCCAGCAAGAGGCCAGCUCUGUAAAUAUGUCCCAGUUCCUAGCACAAACUCUCUGAAACCACUGUUAAAUCACCCUUCUAAAGUAUAAAGGCCAUUCUAUGAGAUGCUAAUUCUCUGAAAAUUCCCUACUUCAUUCCAACCAGUGUUAUAAAUUAACAUUGCUGAGAUUUAGGAGCCAGAUUACUGCAUAACCUGAAUUUAAUAAAUUGUAGAUUCAUAAUAUCUCAGAAGUAGAAAAGCUUGUAUCUCUUAUAUUGUUUUUUCCUGCUCUUUUUAUGUUUAAGACUUCCUAAAAUACAUUCAGUCUAUACAAGUUAAACAAACACUAUCCUAUGAAACAAAUCCAGGGUUGCUCAGAAAUGAACAGAACGGCUUGGUGAGAAAAAACAA